CCGCUGCCGGGCUUUAUAAGGGGGGCAAUGGCCCGGCCGCAGCAGUCGGAGCAUCCCCGGGUCCCUGUUUGGUUCCCCCCCCAAAAAUAUAACCCCAGAGCCCCCCCUCCCUAUCGAGGGAGGUGGAAGCGGGCCCCCCCGGGGGCUGUGCGUACGGAUGAAGAUGAGGAUGAUGAGGAUGAGGAUGGCGAUGCCGGGAGGCUCGGCCCGCAGGAGGAAAUCCUAGCAGCACUGGAGGAUUCAUCUCCCCGCCCUGCUGUGCCGUGGAGAUGGGGUGCCCCGCGAGGAAGCGAUGUCCCCUCCUGCGCAUGGAUUUCGGCUGAAUGUCAAACCAGCAUGGCUACUGGGAGAACUGGGACAGGAAAAUGAGCUGGGAAUCGUCUGAUGGAGCUGCUCUCCACCACGGGAACCCUGUGCUGUGCCCCUCUGAACACUGAAUUUGGGAAUAUUUGGGAUGUGCAUGGUGCCCCCCUGCUCCUGCAGCUGGCAGCACGCCUGGAGGACAAGGUGCAGGCUGGCCGAGCCGUUCCCUUGUCCUGACACUUGUUUCUCUGCACGUUUUGGCACCUUUCUGCUGCUGAAAGGGGCAGAUGCAAUAACUGCUGGAGUGUCUCCAUCGCUAGGAGUGAGGAGGAGCAAUCAGCCUGACCACGUGCAGGCUUGGGACUUCUCCUCGACCAAGCGGACAGCCCUGAGCAGGAGGAUUUGCCCUGGGAUGUUUUCUCUUUGGGAUGAUCUCAAGAGUCUGGAGCCCUCGUGGACUGCAGAGGGGUUUGGAUGUUCCCUUCUGCCUCCGUCUGGGAGCGAGCCUUGCUGCCUGAAGGCCACGGACACCUGCUUCUCCCCAAAUCUGGUGGAUUAUUGCUCUUGGCAUCGUCCUGCUGCUGCAGCGUUUUUUUUGUGGAUCUCAUGGAGCUGCCUUUGCAUGAAACCACCCAGCUCACAGAUAUGGGAAAGCAGCAGCUCCAGCCCAGGGCUCAGAGCCCCUCUCUUUUUUUUUUUUUUGGGCUGCUUCAUUCAGCAUCGUGGCUCUUUGGAGGAGGAUGGAGUCUGUGCACCUGUGUAGGACAAGUCCCGCUGGUCUUAGAACGGAGGCACCCCGCUGCUUUUCUGCACUUUAAAGCCUGUUGAAGCCACCAGUGCUGGGCCAUGCAGGGAAGCUGCUGUUUGAGGCUUACUGGGAACAAUGUGCAGCCUGUCUCAAGGGUACUGGGGGGAUCCCAGUCCUGAGCUGGUGCAGGGGGUGAGCUGGAAGUGGCCACGCUCCCUGUGGAGGGGAGCUGUGAGCCUCCCUGAAACCAAAAAUGCUGGGGGAGGCAGGGGACUGCUGGAAAAUGAUGCCAGGGCUUUGGUUUUUGGAGGGGGGGGCUUGCAUCUGCACUGAUGCUGUGGGAACACCUCUCAGCAUCAUGCCCCAGGGGCUCUGUGGAGUAGCUGUGGCUCUGUGUUAGCCUGGGAGGAUGAAGAAUAAGUGUGGUCAUUUCUCUCUUGGGUGGAGAAUGAGCUGGGGAAGAGGGAGGUUGUCCUGUCCUGGGGGGCACUGCGGGUGCAGUUUGGUGUUUUCUUGGGGGUCUGCGCCCCAAAGCACCUCUCCCUCUGGUGUUAUCCUGGAGGGAUGGCUCAAGCCUCAGGGUCCGCUGAUUUCUGGGGCACAGAGCAGAAAUGGCUUUCUUAGGGUGACUUUCCUGGGGUUUGCUGUGUCUCACCCUGCCUGGGCUGCUUUCUGGUGUGUUUUCCUGGAGGGGGGGUUGGCCUGGGGUCAUGAGGCUGGGAAAUGUGAUGAACAGAAGGGAAAUUCCUGCUGUGGAGGACUUUUAAAGCGGACUUUUAAAGCACACUUCUGUUUUGGGCUAGGGCUCUUGUGUUCCUGCUUGCUGCUGUUUGAUCAGCCCAAAAAGAGCCCGGUGGGGGAUGGCAGGGCUGUGGGGUCUGUGCUCUUGCUGAAUGGGAACCCCAGAGGAUGUGCUUGAGCCUUCCCCAGAGACAGCUCUGCCAGCUGGGUGCUUGUCAGGAUGGAUGGAGAAGGAAAUGCACGCUGGAGAGGAGGCUGAUUUGUUUAGCACUGCGAACUCCCAGCGAGCUGAACGGGGCUGGGCUGUUUAAAUCAAUUUCCCUUGGGUCUGACUGGAGCUGUUCCACAUCUCAGCCUCUCCACAGGCCCUUGGGAUUGUGAGUUUUUCCCUUGUUGAGCAUCUGAAGGUAUCAAGCUCUUGCCUUCAUCCCUUGGCUUCCCAUCCCUGCUUUGGAAGCACGGGGAGGAGGAUGAGCACAGACACCCUCUUGCUGGUAGUGCUGAGCUCCCUGGGCUGAGGUGAGGUGGAGAUUUCCACCCCAAACCAGCACGAAGCAGCUCGGUGCUUAGCCUUGCUGUGGCAUCUUCCUCUGUUUGAGGGAUGAAUGUUAAAUGAGUGCCCUGGCUGUCGGGUCGGUGGCUCUCCUCAGUGCGCAGUGACUGCACCGAGCCCUGCUGGCUCUGCUGGGACUGUGGCUGCCCUGGGGAGGUGUCACCAUCCUGGGAGGC